AUUGAACGCUGGCGGAAUGCUUUACACAUGCAAGUCGAACGGCAGCACGGACUUCGGUCUGGUGGCGAGUGGCGAACGGGUGAGUAAUAUAUCGGAACGUGCCCAGUCGUGGGGGAUAACGUAGUGAAAAUUACGCUAAUACCGCAUACGAUCUAUGGAUGAAAGCGGGGGAUCGCAAGACCUCGCGCGAUUGGAGCGGCCGAUAUCAGAUUAGGUAGUUGGUGAGGUAAAGGCUCACCAAGCCAACGAUCUGUAGCUGGUCUGAGAGGACGACCAGCCACACUGGAACUGAGACACGGUCCAGACUCCUACGGGAGGCAGCAGUGGGGAAUUUUGGACAAUGGACGCAAGUCUGAUCCAGCCAUUCCGCGUGCAGGACGAAGGCCUUCGGGUUGUAAACUGCUUUUGUACAGAACGAAAAGGUUUCUAUUAAUACUAGGGGCUCAUGACGGUACUGUAAGAAUAAGCACCGGCUAACUACGUG
rnacentral:rRNA from 1 species